GUUGACUGUGGCAGAAAAGUGACUGUUAUUUACGACCUAACAUAAUGUUUUAAUAGACUAAACUAGCAAAGGCGAAUUAAAAUGCAGUUUGUGGACGUGUCUUGGGGAACAAAAGUCCUGCAGGGUCAGAGAACCAGCUGAGGUUAUCAGCGAUGAUGUGAUGAUUCUUACAUCCUGGACAUGUCACUAUCACUACACCUUUGUGAUAUGCCAACUUGGAUAUCUUCUGCAUGGAUCUAGUAGAGCAAACCUGCAAACGUGAUACAACCUGCAUCGUCACUUCUGAUACUCGGUGAAGUUGAGACUCCUCUACAGAGGCCAGCUCCACCUCUGUCAUUAGGUGACAAAUAACGAUAUCUACGCUGGUCCUGCAAGGAGAGGAACCCCGUCCCAGCUGUGGUCG